UAUUAUUAUUUCCUUCCCUGACACAAGAUGUUUGGACUUCUGGUCUUGAGCAUAGUUUUAUUUAGUCUGGUCAUAUUCAUAUCAGCUAAAUUCCCUUGCUGUAACUCAUAACUAUAGUUAGCUUUGUCUAAUGCUAAUCAUCUUGCCUUCGCUUGGGCAGCCUGAAGAUCUGUAUAUCUCAAGACUGAGAGAUUAAAGAUGAUAUGUCUAAAGGAGGAGAAAAAACCUGAAGAGAGGAAAGCUCAUGCUCUGUUUGAGGUGAGUUUCUGUUUGAUCACUGGAGCAUCCUUAUUUUGAUUAUCUUCAAUGGUCUAAGUGUUGCUUAAAACUAGCUAUAAGAAUCGUGCAAUUUCAUGAAGCUACUGUCUCCAUUAGAUUUACUGUCAUUGGUUCUCAGGAGGACAAGUACAAGUGCUUACAAAGGACAAGUGCUUAAGGAGGACAAAAAUCUGACGUGUCCUUAGCUGAGCACCCCUCCACGUGUCAUAUUCUCACCCCUCCACGUGUCAUAUUCUCAGACGGUUUUAUAUGGAAGUCCUUUUAGUCUUCACUUUAGCAGAACCCGUUUGUUGAUGCUUUCCCAUUUCGUUGGCCACAGAUUUGCUCAAUGUCAAUUACGGGUCUCGCACAAAUCAAAUUUCUUGGCGCUAUAGAUCUCCAGUUGUAUAAAUUCAGUCCAAGCCAAGCGUAUCAACCACACUCAUUCACAAACAAAGCAAUUCACAAAUCGACUCCCACCACCACCGAAACCCCCAACCAUCUCGCCGUCGCCAGAAAAAGCGACUUGCGAUUCGAGAACCCCAUCCUCAACUCGCUCGACUCCAAAUUGAACGGUCUCU
rnacentral:lncRNA from 1 species